UCACCAUCAGCACCAUCACCAAGUCACCUUUAAAAGAUCCCAAACAUGAACAGGACUGCAGAGGGUGAAGCCAUCAUAACUGACAUGCUUUGUUCCCAUCCUCUCUUUCAGUUUGGGAAUGAUUGAUACUUUUAUGGUUUUAUGGUUUCUUAUUCUGUGUGAUUUCUUUGCCACAAUGCCUUCUUGGUAUGUUCUACAUGACCUGAUAAAACUGACCCACUGUGGCUGCUGCUGACACAUUUACAUAUUCUGAUUCUACUGUUGUUUUACAAGCACGGAUUUGGAGGGGGAAACAGUCACACGCCUGUCCCACGCAGACGAAAGGCCUCCAUCUUUAGUUGAAUCUUAUUGAUUAUUGUAUGCGUGAUGGUGGUAUUUGAAGUUCCCUAUAUCAGAAUAUUCAGUUCUGUGUCCCUAACAGAUUUUUUUUGUUUCCUUUCCUGGGUGAAUUUGACGGUUCUGAGGAUGAUGUAAUUUGGUAGAUGUGUCAGAAUAGAAAAUGUCAUGGUCGAUUAACACCAAGUGAUGCUUUGCCCCGACAUCAGCUAAUUGCAAAGUUCAUAGGCGAUGUCUCUACCCCCAGGUCAAGUUGGGGACUGUAACGAUAAUGUCAAGGCUUUGUCUGUUUGUAACAUAAUCCACCUGUAAUGGAUGAGGCAUAUCAUUGUUUCAUCUGCUUUCUCAUCCAUUUGCUCUCCUUUCUGGUCAAUAGUUGCAAAAGAGGGUGUGAGUGCGAUUCUGGGGUGGGUGGGUUGAAUUGGGAACUUUUUUCAACCCUAGACAUCUACAGUAGGUCAUGAGUGGAGCUAAUUGCUCAUCUCUUCUGCGUGUCAUUCCCAAAAUGUCAAGUCCUUGGUCCCUGGUCUCUAACUAAAAGUUGUGUUGGUGACCAUUGUUUAGUAAUGCUCCAUCACCAGUGAACUUCAGCUUUGUUGUGCAUCGUGUGUUUUCUGAAUGAAUUUUGGGCCUCAAUAUGAACCAACAGUUCUUUCUUUGUGUGUUCUAUCCCAGAUAAAGAGUUGCAUGUAGGCUGGUCCCAGAUCUGUUUGUGUGGUUUGGCCAACACCUAUGGCCAUUGUAAAUGUUGGAAAUACAGCACAGACAUCUGGGGCCAGGCUAGAUUACAUGCGUUGCCCCAGGCAUUGUUAGUUUGAAGUUGAUGUAUAUGCUAUUAGUACAUGAUCAUUGUCCCAAUCUGUACUCUCUCUAUGCAAAUCACCCACAGACAGUCCAACUAACUGGUCAUCUGGAACCUGAUGUACCCAGCCAUCCCCCAACCUUACAACCCUCAUGUUCAACCAACCUUCCAGCCAAGUCCACAUUUUAUUACACACCACCACCAUUUUAUCCUGUUUUCUACCAGUAUAUUUGAGGGGGUGAAAACAUGGGAUCUUCCACUUUAUCUGGGCACUGAUUUAGCUAAAUAGAUUAUAAAUGAUAGUCAUUAAACAAAGCGCUUGGCCAGUGUAGAAGAUUGUACAGUCCGCCUGGUGUUUCCCAUGCUUUCCCCGUCAUCCCUGCGUAGACUUGGCCUUCACAAACCAUCCUGAUCUGAUCGGCUCCAUGGAAACAGAAUGCACGCUUGUGACAUCAGGAUGAUUCGUACGAGGCCAGUAUAGUUCCAGUCACCCAUUGACUUUCAUUCUAGAGAUGUCAGCUUAAACAGUAUAGUUAAUUGAUAAUGUUAAAUAAUUUAAAGAAACUUUUCACAAAUCUUUAAUGUUUUAUAAAAAAAAUACAGAUACAAUCUGUAUUUGGAUUGGUGGGGGAUUGUGAAAGUUAAAAUAAUUUCUUGCAGAUGGAUGUUCAUAUGUGCGUGUUUCAUACGAUGACACCUUGUUACUGUAGUGUCAUACAGUAUGAGAGCGGCGUCAUCACCAGUUCCAUUGAAUGUGUUUCAUGUUGACUGUGAAAUGAGCUUUGGGACAUGUUCGAUGCUCAAGGAAACUGACAGGAAGACGUUAUACUGGUGUGACUGAUCCACGUCAUAUUUGCAUUGAUGGUUCUAUAUUUUGCACCGCCUUUUCAGACCAAGGAGAGACAUUUCAUAAUGAAACGUGACUCUUACCCAAAUGGAUCAUGUAAUUAGCUCUACAGGUGCAAUAAAGUUGUGACUUUG